CAGACCAGCAGAGGCCAGCAAAGACCCAGACGCUAGUAUGUAAGUCACCAUGAGAACAUGGGAUUAUCCUUUUAUACCCAGAGAGGACCUUGGGAAAAAGAGAAGGAGGUAAGAUCAUUUGCGAGGGAGAGAAUCAGCUUUAGUACAGAGUUUUAAGCACAAUUUUUUUUAAAAGCAAUUUAAAAUUCAAACUGGAAGAUUACAACAUGGAUAUACGCAAAGCAAGAUAAGGCGGUGGCUGAGUAAUACAUCACCCUGAAACAACUGAUAAGCCAGAAGACGAAAGAAGUUUCAGGGAAGUCAGUCAGAAGUCUUGGAAGGAAUGCAGCUAUGGGAGGGCAUUACUGGGAAUUUUCAUGAACAAUUUUAUUUCUGUGAAUUGGAGAGUCAUUGCCCCUUUCCCAUCUCUUUCUGCUGACAGCUGCUGCUUACCUCUUUCCUUCCAGCUGGGAGGGCAGCCGCAUGGCUGCGUAUGCCGCUGACGCCAGGAUGGCUCCUUAGCGAGCAACCAGGGCAUCAGUUUCCUCCUGGAGACUGCACAUGUCACCUUCACGUCUCAUGCAUCUUCCAUCAUUUAUGUGAAUAUAUCAAGAGGCUCUGGUAGAAGGCACUAGGCUAUGAAAGUGCAGUCUAACCGAUGACUGAGAACAAAAGCCGCCUUCAGCUAGGAAUGAUUCGCUACUGUGAUGAGGAAACAGAGCUGGAGACAGGAUAUGUAACUUGCGCAAAGGCAUAUAACUG